ensembl:misc_RNA
AAUCCUGUUACACCUGGGAUUUAGGUCCUUUUAAUCUGAAAAAAAAAAUACAUACUCCUUCAGCAUUCCAGAAGGAUUUGAGAACAAUCCUUCCCUGAACUAAAGCUGGAAUACUGUGGGAUUGGAGAAUUAAG